rnacentral:misc_RNA from 1 species
CCACGCAUAGACGACGACGCGGACAACGCAAAAGCGUUACACGGCAGCGAGGCACCAUUGGCGUAAAGGCGGCCCUCCCCCAGUCCCUUUUCGCUGCCACCCAUACACACAUAGACGUUAUUGAAAGCAUACAGGCGUUGCAUAGACGCUGCUCAGCGCAGCCUCCAGCCACUUCCCUCGCGCCCCACCCGUGGCGCGUGCGUUUCGAGGGUCUGUGAAACAGAUCUGCUCGUGUGCGCGUUGUGCACGCCACCGCAUUGGCCGAGCAGCCUGUGACGCACUCGCAGACAGACACGGCGAGAGAGAGAGAGCGCCGAGGAGGCUGGCCGAAACCGUCAAAUUCAGAGAGAAAGAGAGAAGGGAGCAGGCGUGUGUUGACUAUCUGCAUCAUCAUAGAAGCUUUAACGACACGACUCUUUAUUUGCAAGUCUCUAUCUAUAUAAAUGUGUUGGGUGUGUUGAGCCUGCGUCUGUGUCUCCUGUUCCCAGAAGCAGAUACCGGGCUUGGACAGAGCCGCCCGCACCCACCGGAGCACAGAAAGGCAGAGACAGACAAGAUCGUGCACGGGCUCGUUCCCUCCCUCCUCCCCAGCACCCACCCACCCCCCACACACAUAUAUAUAUAUAAGCGGUAGAGGAUGACAGACGCUUCCAAGUAUAAGAAGCUCACUCCGAUCGACCAUGUCCUCCUUCGACCGGAGAUGUACGUGGGCAGCAUCGAGACCCAGCCCACGCCCAUGUACAUUUUCGAUCCGGAGAAGGGCAGGAUGGUGUGGGAGACGAUGCGGGUGAACCAAGGUCUCUUGAAGAUCGUGGACGAAAUACUGCUCAACGCGGCGGACAACAUCAACAACAGUAAAGGAUCGGUGCGGCAGACGUACAUCAGCAUCCACAUCUCCGACACGGGCGAGAUCACGGUCGAGAACGACGGGGCUGGCCUCCCCAUUGUGCGUAGCAGGGAGCACAAGAUGUACAUCCCGGAGAUGGUUUUUGGCCACCUGCUGACCAGCUCGAACUACAACAACGACUCGACGUCGACGACAGCGGGUCGGCACGGCUACGGCGCCAAGCUGACGAACAUUCUUUCCACAAAGUUCUCCGUCGUCUGCCGCACUGACGGCCGAGAGUUCCACAUGAGCUGGACGGACCACAUGCGGAUGGCGACGGCUCCGCGCGUGAAUCGGGUCGAUCCGAAGGAGAAGAACGUGACGCGUGUGAAGUUCAUGCCAGACUAUGCGCACUUCGGCUUCCCAAACGCGUCCAUCUCGCUCGACAUGAAGCGGGUGCUGCACAAGCGCAUCAUGGACCUGGCCGCGAUGUUCUCCAAGAUCGAGGUGCGGCUGAACAACGUGCCCUUCGGCUUCCGUACAUUUACCGACUACGCGCGGCUCUACUCGCUACCCGGCCUGGACGGGUCGAUGCCGCCCGAGCCGUUUGUGUACACCAGCCCUAACGGCAGCGUCGCGUAUGUGCCGCAGCUGACGCAGAGCCCGAAGCGCAUCGUCGGCGUCGUGAAUGGCGUCGUCACGUACAAUGGCGGCACGCACUGCAACGCCGCCAUGGACAUCCUAGACUCCUGCCUCGACUCGCUGAGCAAGAAUUUCAAGAAGAACGGCAAGGUGGUGGACACGAACCGGGUGCAGCGUCACUUCACCGUGCUCGUCUUCCUCAUUCAGACGCAACCGAAGUUCGACUCGCAGAGUAAGGCGCGGCUCGUGUCGACAGUGACGAUGCCGCGCGUGCCAAAGAACACGUUGGAGAAAUACCUUGAGCGGAUGCCGUUUCUGGAGGCGCACGUGAACAGCAUGGACGACCAGCUCGCGAAUGAGCUGAACAAGGAGAUCGGCGCGGGCCGGCGGCUGAGCAGCAAGACCCUCAUAUCCGCCAUCACAAAGCUCGUCGACGCCACCUCGUCGCGGCCCGACGGCAGGAACAUCCGCACGCUCAUCAUUACAGAGGGUGACUCGGCGAAGGCGCUCGCCCUCAACUCGCUCUCCAGCGAGCAGAAGAAGUACUGCGGUGUCUUCCCACUGCGUGGCAAGCUGCUGAACGUGCGCAACAAGAACCUGAAGCGGCUCAAGACGUGCAAGGAACUGCAAGACCUCUUCCUCUCGCUCGGACUGGAGCUGGGUAAGGAGUACCGAUCGCCGGCUGAGCUGCGCUAUCAGCGGCUUCUCGUCAUGACGGAUCAAGACGCGGAUGGUUCGCACAUUAAAGGCCUCGUCAUCAACGCCUUCGAGUCGCUGUGGCCGAAGCUCCUGCAGAACAACCCGGGCUACAUCUCCCUCUUCUCGACACCCAUUGUGAAGAUCAAGGUGAGCGGCAAGUCCAAGGAGGUGAUCGCCUUCCACAGCUUCCGCGACUUCCACCGCUGGCAGCGGGCCCACCCGAGUGCGCGCUACACGGCCAAGUACUACAAAGGUCUCGGCACGUCCACCACGGCUGAGGGAAAAGAGUACUUUGCUGACAUGGAGAAGAACAUCAUGCAGCUCACCGUCGACGCGAGGGACCACCAGCUGCUCGAUAGCGUCUUCGACGCGGCCGAGGUGGAGUGGCGCAAGGAGUGGAUGACGAAGGCUAAUGCUUUCCAGGGCGAGAUCGAUAUCGAUCGCAGCAAGAAGACACUGACCAUUCCGGAGUUUGUGCACAAGGAGAUGGUGCACUUCGCGCUCGUCGGCAACGCCCGCGCCAUCCCGCAUUGCGUCGACGGGCUGAAGCCGUCGCAGCGCAAGAUUUUGUGGGCAAUGCUGCGGCGCCACAACUCCGAGGCGUCGAAGGUGGCGCAGCUGUCGGGCUACAUCUCAGAGGCGUCGGCGUUUCACCACGGCGAGGCCUCGCUGCAGGAGACCAUCGUGAAGAUGGCGCAGAACUUCACCGGCGGCAACAACAUCAACCUGCUCGUGCCAGAGGGUCAGUUCGGCUCUCGACAGCAGCUCGGUAACGACCACGCCGCCCCGCGCUACAUUUUCACGAAGCUCAGCCGUUUUGCCCGCCUGCUGUUCCCCGAGGAGGAUGACCCAUUACUGGACUACAUGGACGAGGAGGGCACUUUCGUGGAGCCGCACCACUACGUUCCCAUCCUGCCGAUGCUGCUGUGCAACGGUGCCGUCGGCAUCGGCUUCGGCUUCGCCACGACGAUCCCGUCAUUCCAUCCGCUCGACGUCUCGGCAGCGGUGCGGGCCAUGAUCAACGGCGAGUCGGCCAAGCAGGUGGUGCGCAACCUUGUGCCGUGGGCGGUGGGCUUCCAGGGCACAGUGCGGCGCGGCCCCGACAACGAGUUCAUCGCGGUGGGCAAGUACACAGCGCACCCAAACGGUCGCUUCCACAUUUCGGAAAUUCCGUGGAUGACGAGCAUCGAAGCGUUCCGCCUGCACAUCUCGUCCCUCGCCAGCGCGGAUGUUGUGCAACGCAUCGCCGACUACUCUGGCGCCAACCACAUCGACAUCGACCUCAUCGUGCGCGACGGCUCGCUGACGACAUGGGCGGAGUGCGAGACAGACCUAGCACUGGCGCAGCGUAUCUACAUCAACGGCACCGUCUUUUCGCCAACCGGCACGCUUAGCCCGAUCGACUCAGACCUCUCGCCGGUGCUGCAGUGGCACUACGACCGUCGCCUUGACUUGUACAAGCGCCGCCGCACCCGCAAGAUUGGGCUCAUGGAGAUGGAUCUCGCCCGGCUGCAGUCGACGCGCAAGUUCGUCGAGCACUUCCGGCAGGGUCAGAUUGACUUCCUGAAUGCGACAGACGACACGCUCCACAAGACAUGCGUGAAGCUCGGCCUCGUGCGCGUGGACGAGAGCUUCGACUACAUCUUGAAGAAGCCUAUCACCUUCUUCACCCGCACGAGCACCGAGAAACUCCAGGCAGACAUAGCCAAGACGCAGGCGCAGAUUGAGGAACUGAAGAGGACGACGCCGGUGAAGAUGUGGUUGACGGAGCUUGACAAGUUCGACAAGACCUUUCAGGAGUACGAGCGCGUGCUCAUCAACUCGAUUCAGAAGGAGCAGCGCUCGUCUAGCAUCACGGGCGGGGUAGAGCUGCCGGCGCUUCGGCAGCCGCUGCUGAUGCUGGAGGCAUCUGCGAAGGACGCGACGGCGUAUCGCGUGCACGCCUGCCAGUACGAGAAGCCGCCGCCGAGCAAGCGCCGCCCUGGGGAGUCCGUCGGUGGCGCUAGGCCGUCGGAUAGCGCCGCGCGCACUGUGGGGAAGCGGCUGGUCGGUUCCCGCUCAGUAUUCAAAAAUAAGAAGCCGAUGAGCAGAAAGAGCAACGUCAAGGUGAGCCUAUCGACGCGGGUGGCGCAGUUUGCCGGCGCGCAACUCGGUCGUCUGCUGCCACAUGUUUUGAUGUAAGGGGAGCAUGUGAAGCGGGUGCAUGCGGCUGGCCGGUGUGCGUCCGGUUUUGUGCGUCUCUCUCUGAAAAGCGGACGGGAGGGAGAGGGAGACGUCGAGCAGCUGUGGAGGCCGCCGCUUGCUUGCCCCCUCGUCUUCCUCUAGCCUCUGCAUAUGUGCUUGUGUGUGUGUGUGUGUGUUUGUUCGAAGCUCUAGAAGAAACCGAAGUGACAGAGGUGGGAAGUGGAGGGGGGCUUUUGUCGACAUCGCAACGUCGGCAAGCAAGCGAAGUAAAACGAAUCCCACCGCCUGAACGGCAGCGCACGCGCUGCUGUACGACUGGAAAACUGAGCGCGAGCCUCCGUCCGCACCCACACACCCCUUCUUCGUCAGCCUUUUCGUUGGCGCUCUCCCUGAGAGCGCUGCUGCUGCUGCUUGCCUGCGUGCUUGCGAGGUUGCGCGGCGUUGUGUGCGUGAGCGCAUUCGCUGCUCAGCAUCUCCCUCCUUUCGGGUAAUUCUUUGUAGCGGGUGGAGGGGGGAUGGGCAAGGUAAGGGAUGUGGCGUUGCGUGGCACGUCGCCCUGCUGCCCCCCCCCACCUCUCUCUCCCUCGUGUCCUCUUCCCAUAUGGCAUAUAAAGCAGCAACGGCAGCAAGGAAGAG